rnacentral:rRNA from 1 species
AGUGGCGAACGGGUGAGGAACGCGUGGACAACCUACCCCGGCGUGGGGGAUACCCGCCAGAAAUGGCGGCUAAUACCGCGUACGGUCGCCCGACGGAGGGUUGGGCGAAGAAAGCAGCGAUGCGCGCUGGGAGGGGUCUGCGGCCGAUUAGCUUGUUGGCGGGGUAACGGCCCACCAAGGCGGUGAUCGGUAGCUGGUCUGAGAGGAUGAUCAGCCACACGGGGACUGAGACACGGCCCCG